rnacentral:rRNA from 1 species
CGGACGGGUGAGUAACGCGUGAGUAUCUACCCAUUGGUGUGGAAUACCCAUCCGAAAGGAUGGUUAAUACCGCAUAAGAUCUACGGAUGAAAGGGCUUAACUGCCCGCCGAUGGAGGAGCUUGCGUACCAUCAGUUUGUUGGUGGGGUAACGGCCUACCAAGACAACGACGGUUAGGGGAUGUGAGAGCAUGACCCCCCAGAAUGGCACUGAGAUACGGGCCAUACACCUACGGGUGGCAGCAACUAGGAAUAGUGCGCAAUGGACGAAAGUCUGACGCCGCGACGCCGCGUGAGGGAUGAAGGCCUUAGGGUUGUAAACCUCUUUUGCCAAAUCGGAGACGGUUUGGAGAAUAAGCACUCGCUAACUACGUGCCAGCAGCUGCGGUGAUACGUAGAGUGCAAGCGUUACCCGGAUUUAUUGGGCGUAAAGCGUUUCGUAGGCUUUUUGGAAAGUUAUGCUUCAAAGACCGAGGCUCAACCUCGGGAAGGGGCGUAAUACUAUCAGAAUAGAAGAAUUUAGGGGUUACUGGAACUUGCGGUGUAGGAGUGAAAUCCGUUGAUAUCGCAAGGAACGCCAAGGGCGAAGGCAAGUAACUGGGAAUUUCUUGACGCUGAGGAACGACAGCUAGGGUAGCGAAAGGGAUUAGAUACCCCUGUAGUC